rfam:Oryza sativa Japonica Group DNA, chromosome 8, cultivar: Nipponbare, complete sequence.
AAUAAGUGUAGUUUUCCACUGUUCAUGUCCAAUAUUUGACCGUUUGUCUUAUUUAAAUUUUUUUAUUUUAGUAUUUUUAUUGUUAUUAGAUGAUAAAACUGAAUAGUACUUUAUGUGUGACUUUUUUUAUUUUUCAUAAAUUCUUAAAAUAAGAUGGAUGGUCAAACGUCGGACACGGAUACCCACGGCUAGGGGUGAA